AUGUCUUCAUCCUUCUUACCUUUGUCCCUCUGGUCUGGGAGAGAACUUUGCAGACCAAGACUCAGCCCAAGGAUGGAGGCAGAAGAGGCGCCAAGUCUGGAACCCACGACCGCCGCGGAGGAGGAGCUAGGCGAUGCUUGGCUGGGCACUGUAUUGCUCUCAUCCCGUUUCCUGUCUGUGAAAUGGGAAUGGCGCUCCUGCUUCUCCAUGGGAUCUUGGGAAAGGAACAUGAGGGCACUUGUGGCAGUGUUUGUGGCAUGCCUGGCCCAGAGAGAAGCUCUAGAAAUGACACCUAUGAUCCCCCAGCUUGGGGGGAUCCCCCGUUAACAAACACUCGUGCGGCCUGGGGCUGGAAUACAGCCUGAGCAUGACCUAGUCCCAGCCCCAGGAAGAUGGGCCGUCGGAAGGCCAUGGGCAUGAAAGAUGUGCUCGGGGGCCCUUCCAGGUGUCACCAAAGAGCACCGGGGUGUGGCUGAGCCGGAGCAAGGCAGGUGUGAGGCGGUGGGGCUCGGCACAGUGUCAGGCCUGCCUGGGUUCACAGCCCGGGCCUGGGUUACCAGCUGCAUGACUUCACCUCUCUGAACCUCAGUUUCCCCAAAUGUGAAAUGGAGUCGAUUCUGAUAGCAGCUUCUGCUGGGGUUGUUGAGAGGCUGAAAUGAGUAUUUGUAUGAUACAAAUACUCAGUGCCUGGCAAAAGGUAACUAAGUGUCUGUUAAAUAUGUAACUCUGUCUACACAUCAGGGGGCUGACCUCAGUGUGUUAAAUAUGUAACUGUGUCUACACAUCAGGGGGCUGACCUCAGUGUGUUAAAUAUGUAACUGUGUCUACACAUCAGGGGGCUGACCUCAGUGUGUUAAAUAUGUAACUGUGUCUACACAUCAGGGGGCUGACCUCAGUGUGUUAAAUAUGUAACUGUGUCUACACAUCAGGGGGCUGACCUCAGUGUGUUAAAUAUGUAACUGUGUCUACACAACAGGGGGCUGACCUCAGUGUGUUAAAUAUGUAACUGUGUCUACACAUCAGGGGGCUGACCUCAGUGUGUUAAAUAUGUAACUGUGUCUACACAACAGGGGGCUGACCUCAGUGUGUUAAAUAUGUAACUGUGUCUACACAACAGGGGGCUGACCUCAGUGUGUUAAAUAUGUAACUGUGUCUACACAACAGGGGGCUGACCUCAGUGUGUUAAAAAUAUAACUGUGUCUACACAUCAGGGGGCUGACCUCAGUGUGUUAAAUAUGUAACUGUGUCUACACAACAGGGGGCUGACCUCAGUGUGUUAAAUAUGUAACUGUGUCUACACAACAGGGGGCUGACCUCAGUGUGUUAAAUAUGUAACUGUGUCUACACAUCAGGGGGCUGACCUCAGUGUGUUAAAUAUGUAACUGUGUCUACACAAUAGGGGGCUGACCUCAGUGUGUUAAAUAUGUAACUGUGUCUACACAACAGGGGGCUGACCUCAGUGUGUUAAAUAUGUAACUGUGUCUACACAACAGGGGGCUGACCUCAGUGUGUUAAAUAUGUAACUGUGUCUACACAACAGGGGGCUGACCUCAGUGUGUUAAAUAUGUAACUGUGUCUACACAUCAGGGGGCUGACCUCAGUGUGUUAAAUAUGUAACUGUGUCUACACAACAGGGGGCUGACCUCAGUGUGUUAAAUAUGUAACUGUGUCUACACAUCAGGGGGCUGACCUCAGUGUGUUAAAUAUGUAACUGUGUCUACACAACAGGGGGCUGACCUCAGUGUGUUAAAUAUGUAACUGUGUCUACACAACAGGGGGCUGACCUCAGUGUGUUAAAUAUGUAACUCUGUCUACACAUCAGGGGGCUGACCUCAGUGUGUUAAAUAUGUAACUGUGUCUACACAUCAGGGGGCUGACCUCAGUGUGUUAAAUAUGUAACUGUGUCUACACAUCAGGGGGCUGACCUCAGUGUGUUAAAUAUGUAACUGUGUCUACACAUCAGGGGGCUGACCUCAGUGUGUUAAAUAUGUAACUGUGUCUACACAACAGGGGGCUGACCUCAGUGUGUUAAAUAUGUAACUGUGUCUACACAUCAGGGGGCUGACCUCAGUGUGUUAAAUAUGUAACUGUGUCUACACAUCAGGGGGCUGACCUCAGUGUGUUAAAUAUGUAACUGUGUCUACACAACAGGGGGCUGACCUCAGUGUGUUAAAUAUGUAACUCUGUCUACACAUCAGGGGGCUGACCUCAGUGUGUUAAAUAUGUAACUGUGUCUACACAUCAGGGGGCUGACCUCAGUGUGUUAAAUAUGUAACUGUGUCUACACAUCAGGGGGCUGACCUCAGUGUGUUAAAUAUGUAACUGUGUCUACACAUCAGGGGGCUGACCUCAGUGUGUUAAAUAUGUAACUGUGUCUACACAACAGGGGGCUGACCUCAGUGUGUUAAAUAUGUAACUGUGUCUACACAACAGGGGGCUGACCUCAGUGUGUUAAAUAUGUAACUGUGUCUACACAUCAGGGGGCUGACCUCAGUGUGUUAAAUAUGUAACUGUGUCUACACAUCAGGGGGCUGACCUCAGUGUGUUAAAUAUGUAACUGUGUCUACACAACAGGGGGCUGACCUCAGUGUGUUAAAUAUGUAACUGUGUCUACACAUCAGGGGGCUGACCUCAGUGUGUUAAAUAUGUAACUGUGUCUACACAUCAGGGGGCUGACCUCAGUGUGUUAAAUAUGUAACUGUGUCUACACAUCAGGGGGCUGACCUCAGUGUGUUAAAUAUGUAACUGUGUCUACACAUCAGGGGGCUGACCUCAGUGUGUUAAAUAUGUAACUGUGUCUACACAACAGGGGGCUGACCUCAGUGUGUUAAAUAUGUAACUGUGUCUACACAUCAGGGGGCUGACCUCAGUGUGUUAAAUAUGUAACUGUGUCUACACAACAGGGGGCUGACCUCAGUGUGUUAAAUAUGUAACUGUGUCUACACAUCAGGGGGCUGACCGCAGUGUGUUAAAUAUGUAACUGUGUCUACACAUCAGGGGGCUGACCUCAGUGUGUUAAAUAUGUAACUGUGUCUACACAACAGGGGGCUGACCUCAGUGUGUUAAAUAUGUAACUGUGUCUACACAACAGGGGGCUGACCUCAGUGUGUUAAAUAUGUAACUGUGUCUACACAACAGGGGGCUGACCUCAGUGUGUUAAAUAUGUAACUGUGUCUACACAUCAGGGGGCUGACCUCAGUGUGUUAAAUAUGUAACUGUGUCUACACAACAGGGGGCUGACCUCAGUGUGUUAAAUAUGUAACUGUGUCUACACAUCAGGGGGCUGACCUCAGUGUGUUAAAUAUGUAACUGUGUCUACACAUCAGGGGGCUGACCUCAGUGUGUUAAAUAUGUAACUGUGUCUACACAACAGGGGGCUGACCUCAGUGUGUUAAAUAUGUAACUGUGUCUACACAUCAGGGGGCUGACCUCAGUGUGUUAAAUAUGUAACUGUGUCUACACAACAGGGGGCUGACCUCAGUGUGUUAAAUAUGUAACUGUGUCUACACAUCAGGGGGCUGACCUCAGUGUGUUAAAUAUGUAACUGUGUCUACACAUCAGGGGGCUGACCUCAGUGUGUUAAAUAUGUAACUGUGUCUACACAACAGGGGGCUGACCUCAGUGUGUUAAAUAUGUAACUGUGUCUACACAUCAGGGGGCUGACCUCAGUGUGCCGAGAGGCCAAAAUGGAGAGAAAAGGAGGUUGCCAAAGUGUCUUUCCUGGUGGGCCCAGACUUCGGGGUUUCAGGACGGGUGAGAGGGAGUCGGGACAGGCAGGACGGCGGCGUGAGUUGCAUGCUUCCUGAAGG
ensembl:lncRNA